GGGGGAUAACUACUGGAAACGGUAGCUAAUACCGCAUAACGUCGCAAGACCAAAGAGGGGGACCUUCGGGCCUCUUGCCAUCGGAUGCGCCCAGAUGGGAUUAGCUAGUAGGUGGGGUAACGGCUCACCUAGGCGACGAUCCCUAGCUGGUCUGAGAGGAUGACCAGCCACACUGGAACUGAGACACGGUCCACACUCCUACGGGAGGCAGCAGUGGGGAAUAUUGCACAAUGGGCGCAAGCCUGAUGCAGCCAUGCCGCGUGUAUGAAGAAGGCCUUCGGGUUGUAAAGUACUUUCAGCGAGGAGGAAGGUGUCGAGGUUAAUAACCUCAGCAAUUGACGUUACUCGCAGAAGAAGCACCGGCUAACUCCGUGCCAGCAGCCGCGGUAAUACGGAGGGUGCAAGCGUUAAUCGGAAUUACUGGGCGUAAAGCGCACGCAGGCGGUCUGUCAAGUCGGAUGUGAAAUCCCCGGGCUCAACCUGGGAACUGCAUCCGAAACUGGCAGGCUAGAGUCUUGUAUAGGGGGGUAGAAUUC
rnacentral:rRNA from 1 species